rnacentral:rRNA from 1 species
AUUGAACGCUGGCGGCAUGCCUUACACAUGCAAGUCGAACGGUAACAGGGUGCUUGCACCGCUGACGAGUGGCGAACGGGUGAGUAAUGCGUCGGAACGUGCCGAGUAGUGUGGGAUAACGCAGCGAAAGUUGUGCUAAUACCGCAUACGUACUGAGGUAGAAAGUGGGGGACCUUCGGGCCUCACGCUAUUCGAGCGGCCAACGUCUGAUUAGCUAGUAGGUGAGGUAAAGGCUCACCUAGGCGACGAUCAGUAGCGGGUCUGAGAGGAUGAUCCGCCACACUGGGACUGAGACACGGCCCAGACUCCUACGGGAGGCAGCAGUGGGGAAUUUUGGACAAUGGGCGAAAGCCUGAUCCAGCCAUGCCGCGUGUCUGAAGAAGGCCUUCGGGUUGUAAAGGACUUUUGUCGGGGAGGAAAUCCCCAGCGCUAAUACCGCUGGGGGAUGACAGUACCUGAAGAAUAAGCACCGGCUAACUACGUGCCAGCCGCCGCAGUAAGAC